GGAGGAUCUCUGGGAGGAUUGGCCUUUCUGGUUUUACUUACUGCUGGUCUGUAUAAGGCUGGAUUUUUCAAGAGCAAAUACAGUCAGAUGAUGAAUGAAAAUGAAGGAGGAGAAGCAGCGCCAGGAGCUGAAGGAGCAGCUCCCACAAAUGGAUGAAAGUUCCAGUACAUUUGCAAUGAUCACUGUUUCUAUGAAAUGUACCUGAUGGUCGUUUAAUUUAGUGACUGUACCAAACACAGUGUGUGUCUUUCAGACCAUUCCCUGUGUUACUUUGUACAUACGAGUUUGAACAACAAACCAGUAAAUCUAUGCAGAAUUACUGGUAAUAAUGUAGUUUCUCUUAAUAUUAGGGUAGUAUUGAUGAUAUAGUUGUUUUUUUAAAAAAGAACUGCAAUUGAGGACAUAUACUGUAACAGUGCUGCACUGCUCAAAGUUACAGUGGAUUAAAGUGUAAUAAUGAUAUAAAUGUGGAGGGAUCUGAAAGGCAAAGUGAACAAUGUAAUGUAAUGUUUCAGAAGUUUUAAAGAUAAAAUAAUGUUUGUUUGCUUUGGACUUUCUGGUGAAAUAUUUGUUUUAUAUAACAAGGUGAUUUUAUGGUGGACAGAAAGCAUUCAGUGAUUUUUAAAUAUUUUAAAACACAUGAUUAAAGUUUUAUUGUCCUGUGUCA